UACGUAGGUGGCAAGCGUUGUCCGGAAUUAUUGGGCGUAAAGCGCGCGCAGGUGGUUUCUUAAGUCUGAUGUGAAAGCCCACGGCUCAACCGUGGAGGGUCAUUGGAAACUGGGGAACUUGAGUGCAGAAGAGGAAAGUGGAAUUCCACGUGUAGCGGUGAAAUGCGCAGAUAUCAGGAGGAACACCCGUGGCGAAAGCGGCUCUCUGGGACGGUACUGACGCUGAGACGCGAAAGCGUGGGGAGCAAACAGG
rnacentral:rRNA from 1 species